AUACGUGAUAUGUAUAUGCGAUAUAUUGUUUAGUGACUAUAGUAUUAUCUUAUUCUCGUAAAGGAUUUGGACGAGACGUGUACGCUCGAAGACGUCAGAAAGUCGGAAUGGUAUUGCAAAGCGAAUAAGGGAUGAAUCGAGUAAGCGAAGCGAUGUGGCGAAUAGAGUAUAGCUAGAGAUGGUCUAGAGAUUACGAGAUGCAUAGAUUGUGAAAGUUGAAAGAUGAGAUAGAGAUGUGAGACUGGAGUCAGAUUUAAGGCAAGUAUCCUAAACCUUUCCCUUGGAUAUAUUGCAAAUAUUCUGAUCCAUUCCUUUGGUAUAUGUUUCAAGUAUUCAUACCUUUCUUUUCAAUGUUCGAAAGUGCGAGUAUUCUGAACCAUUCUUUCUAAUCUUCAAGUUUCUAAAGAAUUUCCGUUUUACAAAUUAAUUCGAAGUUCAGAUUGUCAUUGAAGCAUGUGUUGCUCAGUGAUAGUUAGAGCUUUGAAUGAAUUGGGAUCUUCUUGAUUAUUCAACCCGCCAUUGUCAUGCUGGUUUAGCAGGCUAAAUUCAGUUGCUUAGCCGAUAAUGGAGGAUACUGAAUAGUUGAGGAUUUCCUGAACUGUGAUUUAUGAAAUGAUGGAUCAUGAUUUAUGAAUAGAUUAUUAUCAAAGUUUGAAUUGGAAUUAUUCUGUUGUUGAUGAUAUUUAUGAUGAUGUUCUGUUAAUUUACAUUGGCUUCUUGAAUUGAAUUAGAGAAUUGGAUUAUUGUUUUUAUAUAAACCUGUGGACCAGAUUCGUGGUCAUGUUAGGCCAAUGAGUGCCUUGGAUCCAGUGAUAGAGCAUGGCGGGGCCUGCUCGGGGUUAGUGCGGAACUGAUCAGCUGCCUAACCUUGGUUUUAAUUAAAAUGUGAUAGUCCAAUUCAAUAAUUCUUUUGGAAAGAUUGAAUUCCUCAGUAUUCAAUUGCUGCAAGGUAUUGUGGUGUUCUUAUACAAUACCUAAACUCGUGAACUCAGGUUGAACCCUUUUAUAUCUUGAACUCGUGAAAUUCUAUUAUAUCAUUUCAGAACUAUCAUUGUUUAUUAUUACUUGCUGAGCAUUGUUGCUCACCCUUGCUAUUCCUUUCUAACCAUUUCAGAAAGGCUUAAAGAUGAGAUGAUUGAUUGAGAUUGUGAGUAAGGCUAAUGCUAGGCGAGGAGACAGAGUUGAGGAUCCAGUGGUCGAGGAGUGUUCAGGAAAGUUGAUGAGGUUGGUGCAAGCUGGAAUAGUUGACAGUGAUUCUUCUUAUCGAAGAUGAUCUGAUUUGGUAAGAGAUGUUGUGUAAUAAUAGUGGUAGAUUCUAAUUUCAAUACUGUAACCUGGAUGCGAUCCUGUUGCUUUUAGGGGGUUUAAAUGUUCUCUUUCGAAUCAUUUAUUAAAGUUUAAAUGUUCUCUUGAAAUUAUCCUAUUAUGGCUUUCAAGAUUGAAAUUCAGGUUUUGAAAUCAUUCGAUUUAUGUUCUCAUUCAAAUCUUUUAUUAAAUGUUUUCACGUUUUAAAUUCUUUUGGAUUUUCAUUAUCAUUUAAAAAAAAAAAAUACAGGUUUUCAAAAGUGUUUAAAAAUGGGUUUUAUGUGGUGACGUCAGAAUCCAGGCCCCCGGAUUCUCGGACCGUCACAGUUGGUAUCAGAGCAACAGGUUAUAAGUAUUUGAAAUUAGAAUAUAGAUCAUAGUUAUAGGUUUUCUAGAGAAGAAUGUGGUGUAACCUCACAUAGAGGUAUGGUCGGACUAUUUAGGAAUAGUCUAGAGAUGUGAGUGAAGCAUAGAGUUUAGUUAGAUGAUCAAGUUAAUUGUGGAUAUCUAAAGAGAUUAGGAUUCUUAAGUUUAGACAUAUGAUUUCUAGUAUGUUGAUUAAUUGAGAUGGUGAAUUAUGGGAAAGGUCAGUAUUAGACCUAUAUAGAAGAGUUUGAUAGUGAAUGAUUGAGUUGAGAAUGGUGAAAAUGCAGAGUUCAGAGUAUUCUGACUAUACUGCAUAUUUGAAAUUGGAUUAUUGUAUUGAUUUGAGGAUGAUAUAAAUGCAUGGUUCAUAGUAUGUUGACCAUGUCAGAUAUUUGGAAGAUGUAUAUUGUUUUGAGUGAAGAUAUGAAGAGUAAGUGUAGAGUAUGAGUUGUAUUGGAUUAGAAGGAGAGAUUGGUAGAUAGAGGUUGAUAGGUGAGAAGUGAAUGAUAGAGAGUACGUGGAAUUGAGUCCAGUUAUUAGAGAUGAUGUCUACGAGUAAGUUAGAACGUUAGUCCUCGACGACAACGCUUCGAGCUAAUCGGGAUUUCAAAUGGCAUCAAGGUGGGCCCAUAACCCACAGGUUGAUGAUCCAGACAAUCGAAGAUACGUUACGUGUUUGUGCUAUGGAUUUCAAAGGCAACUGGGAUAAAGUAGAAGAAUGUAAACUACAUGGGCCAGAGUUAUUACGGACGAUAACGUCUACGAUGAUAUUUUACGAGGCUAAUACGAGUCAAAUCGAUUGAUUAUCGGGAACGUUGAGAAGAAGACUUACGUCGAACAACGAUUUAUUGAAGUAGAGUCGAAAUCUGAGAAGACCUUGGCAAUACCUCUCUUCAACUAAAGAUUCUUUUGAUUGUUUUCUCAUCAGUGAGAUAUUAUUAUGAUAUCUUUUCUACAAAAGUUUUGAUAAAUGAGAUCUUCAAUUUCUCAAAUUCUAAGAUGACAUUGAUAUUGAUGAUUGGUAUGAGUUGGAAGACAAAGAUGUGUGAUAAAGGAUUGUUGUGAAGAGACAGUGAUGUUCUUUGAUAUUGUUUGACAUUUCUUGACAGUCCUUGAUAUUAUUUCAUCUUCUUGGAUAUCCCAUGAUGUUCUUUGAUAUUUUGAUAUCCGUUGAUAUUCGUUGAUAUUCUUUGACAUUCUUUGAUAUUCCUUGAUAUCUUUUCGAUGUUCCUUAAAAUAUUCCUCGAUAAUCCUUAACAUUUCUUGAUGCUCUUUGAGAUUUCUUGGAUUCUUUCCAUUUGAUUGGGAUGAACAACUCUAUUUAUAGGGGACACAAGGUAUACCUGUCUGUGUGAUAGGAGUUGGAUGGGACGCCAUCACUUGUGUGUGUUGUGAUUACAAGAAGGUUAACAACCUUUAGUAGUGUCUAAUAUAGACACGCAACAUUAAGUUCAUUUGAUCGUAUUGAUCUCCCAGUCACUCUUGUAUUCCAAUGUGACCUACUUUGAAAGCAUUUUGUUCCUCCAAAAUUCCCAAAGAUUGAUUCUUGGGAAAACGAAUUUGGCAAUUGUGAAAGUUUUGAUUCUCCUGUAUUUUUAAAAGCUAAAGGUAUGCCAAGGUUGAUCAAAAGAUGGAUGACGAUACGAUAUUACGAAGUGUGUACGGUUUCGUUUUCUUCGGGGGGUUCCGAGGACGGAAUCCUUAUAAGGGGGUAGAAUGUAAUAUCCCAUAUUUUUUAAAUUUAGACUUGAUUGUUAUAAAUCUAUCUGUCUAAAUAUUAUUGUUGGCUUUAGUUGAGAAGUGAAUUGAUUAUGUGAAUAGCUUUAUAUGAUUAUACCUGUUUUGUGGAUUAAUAUGGAUUUUACAAAUAUUGCAUCCUCCUUCUUUCUCUGAUUCCGAGGACGGAAUCCCUAUAAGGAGGGUAGAUUGUAAUGACCCGGAUUUUUUAAAAAUAUUUUUAUUAGUAUUAAAAGUGAUUUUUCUUUAAAGAAGGGAAUAAGAUUUAAUAUUUUAUUCCAGUUUAAGGAGUUUUCAAAAUUUUAUACUAAACCCCGGGUUAUUGUGUUAUUGAUAAAUGAUUAUAUUUUUAAAACUGAUUUUCAUAUAUUGUUUCGAAAAUUCUAGAUGAUUAUUAUGUGAAUAUAUGUGUGAUGUGAGUAAGUGGUAUUGGUGGAUUUGUUGGUUAAUUAAUUAUGGUUAAUUAUGAGUAUUAUAUGAUUAAUAUAUGAAUUUUUGUGAAUUUUAUAUUAUCUGGUUUAUUGCGUUAACUGCUCAUAUGUGUUCGUAUUUGAGAGAUUUCAAUUUCUAUAUGCUCAGGAGAAAAUAUAGUUUAUUUGGAUAUUUUCAUAUCGAUUUAUGGAAUGUUAGAUGAUUUUAUAAUCGAUUUACGGAUUUAAUUGCGUAUAUUUAUAUUUAAUUAUUAAUUAUUUGACUUCCGUAAAACCGUCCACUCGUAACGAGGUAGCAAAUUUUCUUCCCGGAAGUUUCAACAAAACUGACCUUUAGCCUAAUUUGAAUAUUCCGGACACUUUUCGUGUUUUGACUUUUUCGAUCCGGAGUACGGUUUUCCCCGGAGUCGGUCCGGCGGAGUUUUUCGGGUAUUUUAAUUGUUGAUAAUUAUCCAGUUUGUCUCGAUAAACGUGAAACGAGAUAUUUUGAUUAUUAUAUUAAUUCUUAUCUUGUAAUAAUUGCAAUGGGACCCGCAUACUAAUGACUGAUUAAAAAGCCCCGUUUUGAUGAUUAUCUUGAAAACCAGUACCGAUUGGACCCCGCUUUAUUAAUAUAAAGCUAUUAAAUACGUAUUUUCAUGUCAUAAACGAUCCAAAGGGGUACCAAUUAUUUGUAAAUAUAAAUAGACCUUUCUAGAGCUUAUUUUCACCCGUAAAAUCAUUUCACCAGUUUCUUUGCACGAAUACCGAGAGAAACCGAGCGGUGUUCUUCGUGUUCUUCAUAAUCAAACGAAGAUUUGAAGGUGUUAUUGGAGUCAGAAUCAAGCGUGCAAAUAGUCAAAUCGAAGAUAUCGAAGAGUAGAACCCAAAUCAAUCAUCAAAAACAACAUGAGAUUCACAGGUAGGGAGUAAUUGAAGUUUUAAAAUUCGAAUUAUUAUGAUUUAAAUAGUGAAUUUUUGCAAACGUGUUUGUUUGAUUGUUUGGAUGAUUCCAUGUUGUAGAACGUGUUUUUCUCGUCGUUUUGGUAUAUUAUAUGUUGAAUUUUGAGUUCGGAAACAUCUAGAAAAGUGGGUUUGAUUAUUUGGUUGUGUUCUUGGUGUUCUUGAGGUGUUCAUAAAUAUUUUCACCGGAUUUUUUAUUAGAUGAAUCUGGGUGCAAUAUGAGGGUACCAUCAGGGGUGUUGGGUUACCAGGAGUUUGUUGGUGGUCUUGGAUGUUUCGUGGGUGCUCGAUUUCGAGCAAAUCGGGAAGGGAGGUGACUCGCCGGCGGCGAGUUUUUCCCGUCAUAUUCCAGCCAAACGGCUUGAGGAAUCGCAGAAACGAAGCCAUGUCCAAGUUCCCAGUAGUGUCUAGGCCAUAUCUGGAGGUUUUAGUGUGUGUUGGAGCGCUGUAGCGCCGUUAACGGUGAAGCAGUGGUGGCCGGCGGCAAAUUGCCAUUUGGCCACCCAACUUAUGAAGAUGGUGAAGAUCUGGUAUCGAGGUUUUGAAUCUUACAAAGUAACCCCUGUAACUUCUAAAAGUUACAGUUUAAACCUUGGCCGAAAAGUUUCAAAAGUUUACAAAAUAAACCUUUUGAUUUAAUUUUCUAAAAUUGUUUUAUUUAAUUAUUUUAAAUUUCAAAAAUAGUUUUUAAUUAUUUCUUUAUUCAAAAAUAAAUCUAAAUUAGUUUAUUAAUUAAUUUUAAUUAGUAAUUAAUUAUUUUAAUUGGUCAAUUAAUUUAAAUAUUAAUUGAUUAAUUAUUUUAAUUAAUUAUUAAUUGAUUUUAAUUGAUUAAUUAAUUGGAUUUAAUUAUCCUUUUUGAUUUAAAAAUUCCGAAAAAUAGUUUCGAGCUUUAAAAUAUUUUUCCAAAUUAUAUUCAAGGCUCGAUAAUUGUUUAUGAAUGAUUUCAAGUCCAAUUUCAAGUAUUUGGGACUUGAUUAUUUAUCCGAAAAGUGAUUCUUUUAUCGAUUUUAAUUCCGAAAAAUGUUUAAAAAUUCCAGAAAAUUCCCGAAAAAUCAUUUUGAACCCAAGAUUUGAUUUGACCUCUAUUGGGGUGGGAAACCUUAUGUGUAAUGUGUUGUCUGCUAUUGGUUGGAUGUCUUAUGUGUCGAUAUAAGAGUGAGAAAACGGUUUUAAACAUAUCUUUUGAUCCGUAAGUCGGAAUCGAGUGAAACGAAAGAGAGAUGAAAGCUUAUAAAGUCUAGUUUGGUAUGACAUAAUAAUAUGAUGGAGUCGAGAAUGUGAAUAAUUGUUGUUAAAUGUGCCGAAUGUGAUUAUAUGUUAUUGGAUUGUUAUUAAUUGAUGACUACGUGAUAUAUAUGUCUAUUCUUGAUAUUAUAUACGUGAUAAAUGAUUUGGAUGACAUAGUGUCGUGAGUUGAUUGAUAUUGGAUAAGAAUAUAUGGAUUAUAGUGAUUGGAUCUUGUUGAUUGGUUGUUGAUUGAGAUAGGAUAACAGGUGGAUAGUCUUAUACAUAGAGGAAACGAUGUCGGAAUUUCGAUAAGGAUUGAUAUGAUAAUUGAUUGGUGAUAUGUUAUGUGGAAUAUGAUUGAUUAUAUGUUAGAGUCAAAGCAUGCUUAUGUGUUACGUGGUAUGUGAUAGGUUUAAAGGGGUAUAUAAGUGGAUAUCGAUAUACGUGAUAUGUAUAUGCGAUAUAUUGUUUAGUGACUAUAGCAUUAUCUUAUUCUCGUAAAGGAUUUGGACGAGACGUGUACGCUCGAAGACGUCAGAAAGUCGGAAUGGUAUUGCAAAGCGAAUAAGGGAUGAUUGAGUAAGCGAAGCGAAGUGGCGAAUAGAGUAUAGCUAGAGAUGGUCUAGAGAUUACGAGAUGCAUAGAUUGUGAAAGUGGAAAGAUGAGAUAGAGAUGUGAGACUGGAGUCAGAUUUAAGGCAAGUAUCCUACACCCAUCUUUUGGAUAUCUUGCAAUUAUCCUGAUCCAUUCUUUUCGUAUGUGUUGCAAAUAUUCGUUCCUCUCUUUUUCAUAUUUGGAAAGUGCAAAUAUUUUUAUCCAUCCUUUUCUAAUCCUCCAAAAAUUCAGAUAAUUCCAGUUUUACAAAUUAAUUCGAAGUUCAAAUUGUCAUUGAAGCAUGUGUUGCUCAGUGAUAGUUAGAGCUUUGAAUGAAUUGGGAUCUUCUUGAUUAUUCACCCCGCCAUUGUCAUGCUGGUUUAGCAGGCUAAAUUCAGUUGCUUAGCCGAUAAUGGAGGAUACUGAAUAGUUGAGGAUUUCCUGAACUGUGAUUUAUGAAAUGAUGGAUCAUGAUUUAUGAAUAGAUUAUUAUCAAAGUUUGAAUUGGAAUUAUUCUGUUGUUGAUGAUAUUUAUGAUGAUGUUCUGUUAAUUUACAUUGGCUUCUUGAAUUGAAUUAGAGAAUUGGAUUAUUGUUUUUAUAUAAACCUGUGGACCAGAUUCGUGGUCAUGUUAGGCCAAUGAGUGCCUUGGAUCCAGUGAUAGAGCAUGGCGGGGCCUGCUCGGGGUUAGUGCGGAACUGAUCAGCUGCCUAACCUUGGUUUUAAUUAAAAUGUGAUAGUCCAAUUCAAUAAUUCUUUGGAAAGAUUGAAUUUCUCAGUUUAAAUGCUGCAAGGUAUUGUAAAUCAUUCUAUACAAUACCAUGAACUCAUGAACUCAGGUUGAAUCCUCUUAUAUCUUGAACUCGUGAACUUCUGUUAUAUCAUUUCAGAACUAUCAUUGUUUAUUAUUACUUGCUGAGCAUUGUUGCUCACCCUUGCUAUUCCUUUCUAACCAUUUCAGAAAGGCUUAAAGAUGAGAUGAUUGAUUGAGAUUGUGAGUAAGGCUAAUGCUAGGCGAGGAGACAGAGUUGAGGAUCCAGUGGUCGAGGAGUGUUCAGGAAAGUUGAUGAGGUUGGUGCAAGCUGGAAUAGUUGACAGUGAUUCUUCUUAUUGAGGAUGAUCUGAUUUGGUAAGAGAUGUUGUGUAAUAAUAGUGGUAGAUUCUAAUUUCAAUACUGUAACCUGGAUGCGAU
rnacentral:lncRNA from 1 species